rnacentral:rRNA from 1 species
UACGUAGGGGGCAAGCGUUGUCCGGAAUCAUUGGGCGUAAAGCGCGCGUAGGCGGCCCGGUAAGUCCGUUGUGAAAGUCAAAGGCUCAACCUUUGAAUGCCGAUGGAUACUGCCGGGCUAGAGUCCGGAAGAGGCGAGUGGAAUUCCCGGUGUAGCGGUGAAAUGCGCAGAUAUCGGGAGGAACACCAGUAGCGAAGGCGGCUCGCUGGGCCAUUCCUGACGCUGAGACGCGAAAGCUAGGGGAGCGAACAGG